ACUCGCGAUAAAUAAGUACCGAUCUUUUUUGCCAAACGAGAGUCAACUCGUUUACGGCUUUGUACCCUUUUUUGACUAGAAUUGAAUUUCGAAUUGAUGAUCCGGACGAAAGCAGGCUCUUUCUUAAUCCCUUUCUCCGAUCGUCUGAAUUUGGACGGGCCGGUGGAACCGGAAGUGCGUCGAUAUAAUUUGCCCAAAAGGGGACUUCGACCAAACUCAAUCGAUACCAUUAAACCCGAGCACGCACAUUUUCGUCGCAUCGCGCUAGACCGCCGUUUUACCAUCAAUUGCUUCGCGGCAUCUCCGUAAGUUGUUCCCAUCGGAGACGAAUAGAAACGCGACGAAAACGGGCGCCGAAAAUUAACAAUAAUCUGCGCUGUGUUACUUGAUAACAAACUGUACGUAAAAUGUCUGACAUUUGAAACUUAACUCGUUUGCUUUUCAUCGAUAAUCGACGCCAGCCGUGUGCCGCCGUAUUUCUCGCAUUUUUCGAAAUUUAUUUACUCCGAACUUGAACCGAUCAAGCGACGAUAUCUCUAAAGUGUUCGCUUUUGUAAAGAUUUCUUUUUGUCAUCUUGGAUAAUGUGUUUUCACGUUUUAAUCGCAACGAGACGCAGCGAAUCGCGACGAAUCGCGACGAAUCGCAACGAAUAUUGCGUUUCGUUAUUUUGCGAAUUUUGUGAGAAAAUUUGUCUCGAAAUGGAACGAGCUUUAGUUAAUGAAGAAGAGAACGCGGUAUACGGACUGACGUCGCGUGAAACUCGUAACUGAGACGUGGCGAACAAAUUUGAAACAAUGCGUACACGUGAAACUGGGGGUUGGCACUGAGAGGAUUACCCGUGGGUUGAGGAUACGGUGAAUGGGUUUGAUCUGUAAGGAUGGGUGGCGGGGUGUUUUGUAUUGUGUUGAAAGCAACGUCAUAAGUGAAGUAACUGAACGCUGCACUUGAAAGACUAAUGAAAAACGGGGGAAACUUGAACGCGCGUAGCUUCGCGUUUCUUUCACCAACAAGCCGCUAAGAUUCCGAUGUUUCCUGUUUUUUCUCUGUUUCUCUGUUUCUCUGUUUCUCUGUUUCUCUGAUAUUUUCCGAGUGCCGCUUCAGAGAUCUAAAGAUUUUCGACAGUUUCUCGUUGAUAAUACUGUACGCGUCGCGACGCUCGUUCAAGCACCUUCCGAUCCGCGUCCGAGUCCCACAGUCCUUCGAUUCAUUUCCGUAGUGAGUGCCUGCGCGAUUUAUCGAAUAAAUGCGACGACGCUGUGUGCGGUCGCUGCUGUCCUUAGAAUAUAGAGUCGAGUACGUUUAAUUAAUAAUUAUGCGUGUAUGCGUUACGGUUAACUGUUAAUUAACUUGACUUGACAAAUGGUUACGGUACUGUAAUUAAUUAAUUAUUAUCUGUUAGUUUAAAUAUGUGUGACUCCACCGUACAAUCGUCUCCCUUUCGCGCUCUCGCUUUCGCUCUCUCGGUUAUCUUUCUCUCUCACCUAUUCGGAGCAUACAACGUACACGUUGCCUAAACUACGAACACUUAGUACACUUAGUAGCAUAUUUAUUCUGUUAAAUACUGAUUGGAUUUUGAGGAGAGGAAUCGGCGGGGGGUUGAGGAAACGAACGGCGGUCGGGUCGAACGGGUAAAACGUCGUAGGUCGCUCGUCUUGCCGAUUGGGGAAUAUCUUCUUCAGGAUAAUUUCGAAUGUAAUUUCCUUGAGUUACGAUAUGGACCGCACGUUCAUUCGAAUUCCAGAAAUGUUUUCAACGUCGAAAAGUUUGCGGGAAACCGCGUUUUCAUGUCGGAUGUUGAGGGAUGUUCCGGGGCCGGAGGAAAUUGCGUACGAAAUGAAUCCGGUAUUUCCGGUCGUUCCACUACGCGAUUGGCGGUGGUGUACGACAAGAUUGUAGACACUGAAAAGACCAUGUGCUUCCUGUAUACUUACUUAGUUAACUGUUUAUUGCGGUACACUGUAAUAACUGUUCUACCAUAGUACUACUAGUUGUGAGUUAUACUUGAAACGUCUGUUUAACUGUAACAGAAAACCCUGACGAAGGCACCCACUAAGCGGACUUUUACCGUUUUCCAUAUUAUCCUCGAAAUUUCUCCCUACGUACAUUCUAUCCUAUCCUUUGUAAUUAUCUUUUUAUACUUGAAAGCGUGGAGUACGAGUUUUCGUAAAAUUUUCUGCGUUCAAAAACAAAGAAGCUUUGGACUCGGUUUUUCUUCUCGGACGCGUAUACGGCGGGUUGUUAUAUGGGGUUAGGGUAAAGAAAACACAUUCUCGUGAACAAAAAUUUGGAGAAUAUUUUGAAAAGAGUAUCGACUCGUCGUGAAAACCGAGAGGCGUCGAGGCUUCCUCGGAUCGCCACGACGAGCCAGCACGGUGGGUUCGCACGUUCGUCGUCGACGAUUCUUUUACCGAUUGGCGUCUCGAUCGAUGAAAUUCGCGGCACGUUACUACUCUGCUGGAGUUUCAGCAUAUUCGUAAGAAGAUGUUGUCUCGUCGUCUUUCCUUUUGAAAUAGUUCCGUUCAGUUUCGUCCCGAUACGUUGAUCAAAGUGCCUGAAGAUGAUGAAGAAGACGACGACGGACAAGAAAAUUUCGCUAUACUUUGUCGUUUUCCCGUAAUAAAUUGAACACGAAGUUUUCGAGGUUGCCAGAACCUGUGGAAUACUCGUACGUACUUUUGUUUAAGUUCGUGUAAAAGAAUGCAAGAGAUUUUGGCUUUCAACAUGGAACUCCGGGGGAUGGUAUCGCAGCCUCCAUUUCUUAUUCGCACUAUUAGAGUUCGUCCGUCAAAAACGCAUCGUGCUGCGACAAAUAUUAUUAUUAUAUUAUCUCGUGGACGAAGCGGGACGAACGACUCGCGAAGGGCGAACGGCGAACGGCGAACGGCGAACGGCGAACGCAAACCCACCGUCUUAUCAGCUAUGCCUCUUCAUUUAUAUAGUGGACAUUGAAACAACUUAUUCCGGUUUUUAAUCACGGAGGCUCGGUCAGGGACAUCGCGUGAAAACGCAAAUGCCGCCGAGGCGCUCGCACUGCUAGACUGUCGGUUUUAUCAUAUGCUGCGCACUUACGAUACACACUGCCACGAAUAUACACAUACGUCUUUGCCCCAUCUUCUCGCAUGGAUCGAUUAGCGCGCGACCGUACGUGGUAUAUUCGUUGUGAGAUUAUUUCAUUAAAAAAUUAAAACCCGAUCGAAAACAAAUCAACGGUUUUUGCUUGUAAAGCCGCGAAUUCGAACAACGGCUCUCCUAAUGCCGUUGCUACUUGCUAGGAUGGUUAUUACACUGGUUUCUGUACGUGGGUCAGGCGUGUUUCUCUUCUUUUCUACCUAGUAUACCGAUACCUAGGUAUACUCGAGGCGCGCCAUCUUUUCCCUUUGACGUCUAUCUCUUGGGACGUUUUUUUACACUUUGUUUGUUCGUUUGUUGGCUGGUUGGUUGGUUGGUUGGUUGGUUGAUCGAUUGGUUGGUUUUCAUCGUUUCUUCUUUACUACCAAACAUCAUGGUCGGUUCGUAUGGUGGCCCGCCUCGAUUGCCAGCCUGCCCACUUGGUUCUUUGAUUUUCUUUGACAUUCUUCAACGAAGGAUAUGUCACGUCACAUUCGGGUUUAUUAACGUCAAUUCCGGGAUGCAUGGUGUGACGUCAGCGUACGAGACGCAAACGCCGUUUCAUCAUCGGUUCUGCAUCCAAACGUAUGCCAAAGGCCGCGAAUUUUGCUUCGGUUUUCGUGCUCAUUUUUCUACCAUUUUCUUUUUUUUUCUGUUUUCUUUUAUUCCGUAUGUCUUUUGAAUCAAUUGCUUUUUUUCUAUAUAUCAACCGUAAAUCCUCGUUCACUUGCGCUCGAAACGAUUCCUUUCCGCUUGAAAAGCGAGAACGGAUCGCAGACGAUCCUCGCGUGGAUCUUUUCAAACGGAUCGGUAGUAAACGUUGUAACAUUUUUUUGGUUUCCGCAAUGCGUUUGAAAUAUUUUUUAACGUUCGUGGAAAGAGUACCGUAAAAGGCCGAAUCGUUCUGGUUUUUUGAAUGUCUGCUGCUUUUUUUCGACAAUUUACAAAAUCAAUUGGCUUUACAUAUCCGUAGCGUGUGUAAUCAAGUGUACAAAGUGUAGAGAGUGUAAAGAGUGUAACGUGUGUAGAAGGUGUACGAAUUGGUGCAUGCGCCAGGCGCAAGUGUGUCGGCCGUACUAUCGGCAACGGACGUGCACGAUUGUACAACCUGUGUAUGGAACGUGUGUGAGCGCGCGGGGUUGCACGCUCGAGAACCAGGGCAACUUUGAUUUUACUCGUGUAUUGGCCGAGUUCGCGGAUCCUCCGCGACGAUUCAUUCCCGACGUGGCGUCACGGUGAAACGCGGGCCUCGGUUUUGUCUUCAUCUUGUCGUGUGCUUGUCUGUGAUUCUGUCAAUUGUGCAAUUGUAAACUGUUUGCUCCUUGGCGAGAAUACCAAUUUUACCGCGUGCCAUCCAUCGAAGAACUGGCGACGCGGAUUUUGCGUUUGAUUCGUGAGGUCGAGUCGUAUUUGUGAGUGUGUAUGCACUGGGAGUAUACACCAGCGCAUCCGGGCUAUGGCAUUUUUUUUAGAUUAUUUAAACAUUUAGCAAAUUUACAUGAAAGAGAUUAAGAUUAUGGGUAAGGGCUGGUUUUGCAGACUACGUGCUUCCCCCUGCUCGUUGAUUUUCAUUUCACCAGUUUUCUCCUCAACGUUUUACCGCUUCUUCUGUCGCGUUUAACACUUACGGUUCGUCUACUCGUCGUGCCAUUUUCUUCUCCUUUCUUCUCUAUUAAUCACACAUUCGAUCGUCCAUCGUUCGCUCUGCCACAGCUUUGUAACGCUGUUCUCGUGACGCGGCGUGUCGAGAGCCGGCCACUUGCACGACUAGUUGCUUUUCCUUUUCCUUUUCCUUUUCCUUUUCCUUUUCCUUUUCCUUUUCCAUUGCCUUUUCCUUUGUCGAGUCGGACUCGUUUCUUCUAUCUUCUUUCUUCUCUCUCUUCUUCGCUGUGUCCCUCUCUCUCUCUCUCUCUCUCUCGCUCUGUGUGUGUGUGUGUUGCGACGCGACACGUCCUAUCGCGUAGCGACAGUGAUUAUAGCGACAUCGAUAAUAGCGACAGUGGUAAUAGCGACAGUGGUAAGCUUGGUUGAAAAUCCGGCAAAGGUAGACGCGUUGCGCCACCGGCCCGCUUACGAGUUACGGGCAUAUGUAAAUCAAUAUAUUUGUAAAUUAUUUUUUUGUGCUUUUUUUGCCGGCACGCCUACGACGGCGAGCACGCCAUUUUUUUUUUUAUUUCGUUAUCUUUGCUUAUCAUUCUUCGAUUACAGAACAUACACUACUAGAGCUAUUGUAACUUGCUGUGUGUUUUGUUUAAUUUUUAAUAAUUAUGGUACACGUUCGCGGGGCACGGGCCGGCGCCUCGGGAAUAAUUCCUCCUUCUCGCGCGGGGAUGUGAUGUGUGCGGGGGAGUUGAGUCGGCUGCCCCUUUUUCUCUUCUACCGAUUCUGCAUCGUUUACUCUCUUUUUUUUCUUUCUUCUUUCUUUUCUCUCCUAUCAACCUUCUACGUUUACCAUUCUUUCUUUCGUUGUUUCACGUUCAAUGAAAAAGCAACCCUCGGCGCACGGCAGGAUGCACCGGUGAAAAGCUUGUCGCCUCGGAAUCCUUUCAUGACUACCAUCACGAAGGAUCUCGACGUUGUGCUCUGCUGCUUGUGUUUAUUUAUGUAUUGUUGUUGUUGUUAACAUUUUCUUACUUUUGAUAAUGGCGAUAGUGAUGGUGAAAAGUGGUGAUGCUGUUGCUUUUUUUAAAUCUCUUCGUAUCAUCUCCUCCGCUCCUAUUUUCGUGCACCAUUAUUUUUUUUGAUGAUUUUUCUUUUGUUUUUUUUUCCUUUUUGCUGUUUGCUUGUUUCGUCGAGGGACCGUAGAAUCGUCUUUUUAUCUUUAUUUUAUACCUCUUCGUUUGUUCUGCAAAGAUGAUCCGCUGCAUAAAUUUUUCCAUCAAUCUCCUCUUCUCCUUCCUGUCUGUCUCUUUGUUUUAACGGCGUUUUUAAAUCGCGUUUUGGUUUUUCGUUAGAUGAUUACCAAACGUGCCUGAUCUUUGCCUAAUUUCGAAUUUCCAUCGUGUAGCCGCGAAAUGUCCGACUUUUGUCCGCACGUUCCACUUGACUUUGUAACCGAAUGUCGCGAUAUCUGUAGUUUCGAUAGUGGCGCCGCACCUUUGCCGAAACAAACGAAUCGUUCGCGCCGGAAACGUUGAAUACCUUUGGAAAAAAGUGUUGUUCGCGUUCUCCUACGUAUAUGGUUAAGAAAAUUUGUCGGAAAAAUUGUGUUCGCCAAACGUUUGGUCCCUGUCUUAAUUUGGAGGCUAGUCGGUGCCGGUGGUGCGAGUGUGUGAAGAAUUGUGUUGAGGCUUACUUAUCUAUCCUAUCGUAGCUGUACAAUCCAUCGCAAUGCUGUGUGUAUGUGAGCGUGUACGUGUAACUGUGUGGGUGUAUCAGUGUCGAGAAAAAAAAAUUUCCCGAUCAGCGACGCCCAUUUUGGAGAACGUUCUUGCUCAAACCCGCCCCCUUCUUCUGCAUGUUGAUUUUCGCCGACGGUAUCGUUUGGCGAACGGGUUGUACAAGGGCGAUCACCAACGACCAGGCGUACACCGAUGACGAACAGAAGCAUUGGUUCGAUAAAAACGAUUAUCGUUGGUUGCGUGAACGAGGUGUAUGCACUCGUCCAGCUUUAGGUAUUUACAUAGAAACUAACCCUAUUUCGCAUUAUGUACUUGAUUUAAGUUUACCAGUAAAUUCUCAGUUUAUGCUUGUGAUAUCAAGGUGUAUUUACAUACUACUUAAUCCGAGGAAAAAACGCCCUGUAACGUAAAAAUUGUUGUAAUAAGAACGAUCAAUGAUCGACCCACGUGCACGCUACCAAGAACUCGAGGUGACCUUUUCCUCCUUCUUUCUCUUUCUCUCUCUCUCUCUCUCUCUCUUUCUCUUUCUCUUUCUCUUUCUCUUCCUCUUUCUUUCUCUCGCACAUUCCAAAGACACAGGUACGUAGUCGUUUUUGAUUUGCUUGUUUGUUCCAUUUGCACUACCAUCUCGUAUCAGAUU